rnacentral:rRNA from 1 species
GGGUGCGAUCAUACCAACACUAAUGCAUCGGAUCCCAAUAGAACACCGCAAUUAAGCGUGUUUGGACAAGAGUAGUACUAGAUCAGAAUGGGUGACUUCCUAGGAAGUCCUCAUGUUGCACCCC